rnacentral:rRNA from 1 species
CCGCCCAGAGGUAAACGGGUGGAUCCGCAUAGUCGGUCCGCGGAAUUCAGCGCGGCGCGCGGUCCGGGGCUGCCGCUGUUCGGGAUCCUUACGGAACCGACGGUGGUGCCGAGCCGGGCCCCGCCGCGUGCACUUUCCGCGGACGGAGAGCCACAACCGGUUUGAAGGGCGGUCACGAGCCGGAAGGGUUGUCGGUGGGGGCGCUCGCGUCCCCACCAGCCCUCCCCGGCGAACCGCCCGCAGACCGAGGAACCGCCGCGCGCUUCGAGGCCACCCUCCCUUCCGGGUGAGUUCGACAGGGAGAGACUGGGCAACCGUGUCUCCCGACCGCUCACUCGAGACCGGCGUGGGGCUGGCCGGGCGAAAUCUUGGGUUGGUGGCAAGUCUGUCGGCACUCCACCCGACCCGUCUUGAAACACGGACCAAGGAGUCUAACAUGCGCGCGAGUCAUUGGGAUUUUACGAAACCCAAAGGCGCAGUGAAAGCGAGGGCCUGUCAAAGGGCCCAGGUGGGAUCCUGUCACUCCCUCGGCGCCGAG